UUAUUCAGUUCUUCCCCGCUUUCCCCUUUUGCUCUGCUCUCGCAGCCGAGCGGCGACUCGCUAGGGUUCCGGAUGGUUGACAUCAGGGUUCUUGUUGUUGCAAAAUUAAUAUCAUGCAAUUAACUGCAUAGUAGUAACUACUCCCUCCGUCCCAAAAAAACAAGUCAUUCUGGGAUUCAAAAUUUGUCCCAAAAAAUAAGUCACUUUACCCUAUUUAGAAAGUGCAUGUGCAUGUAAGAAUCAAUUACUACCAAAUAUGGGUAACAAAUAGGGGUAAACAUGGUCAUUUUACCUUCUAGUAAAUCUGUCGUAAAAUUUUUAGAAUGACUUGUAUUUUGGGACGGAGGGAGUAGUAUAGUUCUUGAUGCCUUUGUGCAAUUUGUUGUUGCACAAAUUUUGUAAUCUAUUUGCUUUUGGCAUUUGAGGGGUUAUCCACUGUCCCCCUAAAUAUUUUGGAAUUUUGUAAUCCAUAGAAAUAUUUUGUAUAUUUUUAAAUUUUCUUUUGGCAUUUGGGGGGGGGGGGGUUACUCACUGUCCCCCUAAACAUUUUGAAAUUUUGUAAUCCAUAGAAAUAUUUUGUAUUUGUGGU